ensembl:lncRNA
GAAUCAGUGAAGUUAAGUUGAAUGAGAUUGACUAGACUGACUAGGGCUAAAAAUGCCACGUUCCCACAUUCAGCUUUUGGUUAAUUUGUGUAGGCGAAUAUUUAUCAAGCAUAAAUGCCCUUAACAUGGCUCGGUAUUGUCACUGUGCCAUGCAAAAAGACUAGUCAUGUUCACAUCAGAUCAGGUAUGAGACAUUGUAUGUCAUGUUCUCUAUUGCUCAAAAGCUUAGCACUGUAAAAACAAAGAAAAGGAAAACUUCUAAUCUGCAGUUUUUCUUUACUGAGCUUUUACACAAUAUCCGAGGCAGCAGUGACUUUGGGAGUUGUCACCAGGAAUAUUUCUGUAGAAUAUUCCAUGAGGCAAAAGCUACCAGCCAGCGUUCAUCCUACACAGGGUCAUGGGGAGCUUGGAGUCUAUCCCAGGGAACUCAGGGCACAAGGCAAGGGACACCCUGGACAGAAGCAGGCCACUGCAGGGUAGAAUCACACACACAUUCACACACUACGGACAAUUUAGAAAUGCCAAUCAGCCUACAAUGCAACUUUGGACUGGGG